rnacentral:rRNA from 1 species
CCUACGGGUGGCAGCAGGGGGGAAUAUUGGGCAAUGGGCGCAAGCCUGACCCCGCAACGCCGCGUGAAGGAAGAAGGCUUUCGGGUUGUAAACUUCUUUUCUCAGGGACGAAGAAAGUGACGGUACCUGAGGAAUAAGCCACGGCUAACUACGUGCCAUUAGCCGCGGUAAUACGUAGGUGGCAAGCGUUAUUCGGAUUUACUGGGUGUAAAGGGCGUGUAGGCGGGACUGCAAGUCAGAUGUGAAAACCACGGGCUCAACCUGUGGCCUGCAUUUGAAACUGUAGUUCUUGAGUACUGGAGAGGCAGACGGAAUUCCUAGUGUAGCGGUGAAAUGCGGAGAUAUUAGGAGGAACACCAGUGGCGAAGGCGGUCUGCUGGACAGCAACUGACGCUGAGGCGCGAAAGCGUGGGGAGCAAACAGGAUUAGAUACCCCUGUAGUC